ACGGGUGAGUAAUGCCUAGGAAUCUGCCUGGUAGUGGGGGACAACGUUUCGAAAGGAACGCUAAUACCGCAUACGUCCUACGGGAGAAAGCAGGGGACCUUCGGGCCUUGCGCUAUCAGAUGAGCCUAGGUCGGAUUAGCUAGUUGGUGAGGUAAUGGCUCACCAAGGCUACGAUCCGUAACUGGUCUGAGAGGAUGAUCAGUCACACUGGAACUGAGACACGGUCCAGACUCCUACGGGAGGCAGCAGUGGGGAAUAUUGGACAAUGGGCGAAAGCCUGAUCCAGCCAUGCCGCGUGUGUGAAGAAGGUCUUCGGAUUGUAAAGCACUUUAAGUUGGGAGGAAGGGUUGUAGAUUAAUACUCUGCAAUUUUGACGUUACCGACAGAAUAAGCACCGGCUAACUCUGUGCCAGCAGCCGCGGUAAUACAGAGGGUGCAAGCGUUAAUCGGAAUUACUGGGCGUAAAGCGCGCGUAGGUGGUUUGUUAAGUUGGAUGUGAAAUCCCCGGGCUCAACCUGGGAACUGCAUCCAAAACUGGCAAGCUAGAGUAUGGUAGAGGGUGGUGGAAUUUCCUGUGUAGCGGUG
rnacentral:rRNA from 1 species